UUUUGAUCCGGCCAUUAAAUGAGGCAGGCCUCUAUUCAAGGCCAAGCAUUGAAUCGAGGAAAUAUGGAGGGUGUAAAUAAUAAUAG